ensembl:lncRNA
CCUGCCCCCACUGCAUUUCACUGCCAGUACAAACACUAUAAAAGUUCAGCUGGCUUCUUGUAAUUUUGCCCUUCCUCAUGCCAGGAGUUUAUUCUCUGUGCUGUUACAAAUGCUCUCUGCCUGCUGCAGGGGAGGCAGGCCUGGCACUUCCCUUUGGGGUGCCUCCCACAAGGACAGCAUAAGGAGGAAAGAUCACAGGCUCCCAGCCUCACUGGUGCCUUCCCUCACUGCAAAGGAAACUCCAGGGUGCAUUUUUCCCGAAGUGCCAUUUUUCUGGAGGCAUGCCACUAGAUGUUGUUUCAUUCAAGACACAUGCUUCUAAUCUUACAGGAGAUGUAGAGAGAUCCUGCUAUCAUUUACAGCCCUCCUGGGACCUCCGUUAGAGCAUCGUUGUCAUCCACAAUUAAGACCAAUUCUAACUGAAAGAAUAAUGAAGGCCAACACAGUGAUGUUAUAUGAAUGGAGAACCUGUCUUUAAGUGGAGGAAGUAAAAGAGUUU